rnacentral:rRNA from 1 species
CUCAGGAUGAACGCUAGCUACAGGCUUAACACAUGCAAGUCGAGGGGCAGCAUUUCAGUUUGCUUGCAAACUGGAGAUGGCGACCGGCGCACGGGUGAGUAACACGUAUCCAACCUGCCGAUAACUCGGGGAUAGCCUUUCGAAAGAAAGAUUAAUACCCGAUGGCAUAAUUAGACCGCAUGGUCUUAUUAUUAAAGAAUUUCGGUUAUCGAUGGGGAUGCGUUCCAUUAGGCAGUUGGUGAGGUAACGGCUCACCAAACCUUCGAUGGAUAGGGGUUCUGAGAGGAAGGUCCCCCACAUUGGAACUGAGACACGGUCCAAACUCCUACGGGAGGCAGCAGUGAGGAAUAUUGGUCAAUGGACGAGAGUCUGAACCAGCCAAGUAGCGUGAAGGAUGACUGCCCUAUGGGUUGUAAACUUCUUUUAUAUGGGAAUAAAGUUUUCCACGUGUGGAAUUUUGUAUGUACCAUAUGAAUAAGGAUCGGCUAACUCCGUGCCAGCAGCCGCGGUAAUACGGAGGAUCCGAGCGUUAUCCGGAUUUAUUGGGUUUAAAGGGAGCGUAGGUGGACAGUUAAGUCAGUUGUGAAAGUUUGCGGCUCAACCGUAAAAUUGCAGUUGAUACUGGCUGUCUUGAGUACAGUAGAGGUGGGCGGAAUUCGUGGUGUAGCGGUGAAAUGCUUAGAUAUCACGAAGAACUCCGAUUGCGAAGGCAGCUCACUGGACUGCAACUGACACUGAUGCUCGAAAGUGUGGGUAUCAAACAGGAUUAGAUACCCUGGUAGUCCACACAGUAAACGAUGAAUACUCGCUGUUUGCGAUAUACAGUAAGCGGCCAAGCGAAAGCAUUAAGUAUUCCACCUGGGGAGUACGCCGGCAACGGUGAAACUCAAAGGAAUUGACGGGGGCCCGCACAAGCGGAGGAACAUGUGGUUUAAUUCGAUGAUACGCGAGGAACCUUACCCGGGCUUAAAUUGCAUUUGAAUAAUCUGGAAACAGGUUAGCCGCAAGGCAAAUGUGAAGGUGCUGCAUGGUUGUCGUCAGCUCGUGCCGUGAGGUGUCGGCUUAAGUGCCAUAACGAGCGCAACCCUUAUCUUUAGUUACUAACAGGUCAUGCUGAGGACUCUAGAGAGACUGCCGUCGUAAGAUGUGAGGAAGGUGGGGAUGACGUCAAAUCAGCACGGCCCUUACGUCCGGGGCUACACACGUGUUACAAUGGGGGGUACAGAAGGCAGCUACCUGGUGACAGGAUGCUAAUCCCAAAAGCCUCUCUCAGUUCGGAUCGAAGUCUGCAACCCGACUUCGUGAAGCUGGAUUCGCUAGUAAUCGCGCAUCAGCCAUGGCGCGGUGAAUACGUUCCCGGGCCUUGUACACACCGCCCGUCAAGCCAUGAAAGCCGGGGGUACCUGAAGUACGUAACCGCAAGGAGCGUCCUAGGGUAAAACUGGUAAU